UACGAAGGGGGCUAGCGUUGUUCGGAAUUACUGGGCGUAAAGCGUGCGCAGGCGGCUUCUCAAGUCAGGGGUGAAAGCCCAGAGCUCAACUCUGGAAUUGCCUUUGAGACUGAGUGGCUUGAGUACGAGAGAGGUGAGUGGAAUUCCCAGUGUAGAGGUGAAAUUCGUAGAUAUUGGGAAGAACACCGGUGGCGAAGGCGGCUCACUGGCUCGUAACUGACGCUGAGGCACGAAAGCGUGGGGAGCAAACAGG
rnacentral:rRNA from 1 species